rnacentral:lncRNA from 1 species
GGAGGAGGUUUCAUGCGGAGUAGUAGAGCCAAUGAACUGGGAAUAAGAGAGUGUUUGUAGUUUGUUUAAGCUGGCAAUGACUGAAAGAUGGACUCAUUGCAUCUUUUCUGUUAAUGUUUGGAACAUGAAGGAGCUAUCCUCACACCUCAGGCAUCAUCAGGUGCAGGACAGAGCUUUGGGUAUGUUUCUUUCAACAGUUAGUUUACUCGAGCUACUUAACAUGAUGACAAGAGGAAUAAAUAAUGCUGGUCCAGGUUUCGAAGCUGGUGGUCAACAUCUGAAAUGCUCUGCUCUGUGAAUGUUGGGAGGACACUGUGAGUUUGCUGAGUCAACUCAGCUGGUGUAACUCUUGAGGAAACAAAAUUACCCUUUUGUCAAGGUGGUGCAAAGUGCAGUGCUGUGUGAAGUAGGGUUUCUUUUUUUUUUUUUUUUAGUAACUGCUUAUUAGAAACUGGCAGAUAGCAAUACAUAAUUUUGUUAAGAAUCAUUUCAUCUUGUUCUUCAUGGGUACAGCUGGACGGCCAGAAGCAGUACCAAAGGUAUGAACUAAAUUUAUAGAUGGGAAAAGAAGACCUGUUUAAGGAGGAAAAUAAUGUGGCUCUGCAAAGCUGCUAGUUCCUGUGAGAUAAAGUUGGUCUAAAAGCUAGAACACUUUUUUGAAGUUUUCAGAGUGCACCUUAGUAGAAGUUCUGUUGCUUGGCUGUUGUUGGAGUGGCUUGUUCCACAGUGCCAUGGUCCCUGUUGGUGGGUUGUGGAGCACUGCUGUACUUGUAGCUCAGUGGCUUCCAGACUUUUUUGAUCACUGGCCUGCUUUCUUGCAGUUAGCCUGCGGAAUCUCUGUGUGCUACCAUGCGUUGAAAGCCUUUCCAAGCAGUAUCAUCUGCUCUGUUGCUGGAGAAACAGAUUUAGUGUCUGUUACCUUUUUUAUGUUCUUACUCAGGAUAUUGUGUUGUGUCAUUGUGCUGAGUGUUGGUACAGUUUAUUGCUGUGUGCGGUGCCUUGUUUGUUGUUCUCCCUGUAAGCAGUUUCAGCACCAAUCCCUGUUGGAAGGUGUUGCUUUUCAGAACUUCUGUAAAUGAAACAGAUGUGGAGAACUGAGAAAUGGUAAUUUCAUUCUGCUGUUGCCAAACAACCUCCUUCCACCAAGCAGUGCUAGGUCUUGAAUCUGCCAGAACACUAAGGCGGAUGGCACCGUAUCAGUCCACCUUUGAGAUUUGUCUUUUUAACUACAGGUCUGAAAAUGCUUUUUGUGGGUUUUUUUUUUUUUUAAGGGUGGAAUUAAUAACUGGAUGGAAUAAAUAAGGAUGGAAUUGUAACUGAUGUGUUGGUUGCCACAGGGUGGCAGCUGGCAGUGGGAAGAAUGCUGUUUUCAAGCUCUGAAAUCCUUUCGCACUGUGUCUUUUUUUCAUCUGUGAUGUUGUGCUAUAUAGUGAUAAGCUCUCGGGGGUGGGGGGGCGGGAAGGGAACAACAGGUUUCCUUAAGCUACAUUUUUGCAGUGUGUAGAACUGUGUGUAACACAUUACUGAUUUGAGUGCUAUAGGCAGUUGUGAAUCACAAAAAAAUCCAGCACCAAAUACAGAGGAGAAGUUUGCAGGAAGUGCUAUUAGCAAAAGAUGCUUGUGGUAUUUGCUUCCAUGUGCAUUUUAAUGAACUACUACUGGUAUAUGUGAACUAAAUUUA